GCGAAAGGUCAUUUGAGCCUGCUAGAUUCGACUGCCAUGCUAAAUAAGCGGGAAAUGGUCAUAAAAUACCUGUGGAUGCAGAGUCUACAGUCUUGUUUUGGAGUGUUUAACCUUCGGAUGUACCGAGAAUAAUUCUCUGGACACUUCUGCUGUGGGUUGAAUGGACGAAUUUUCCCAGUGAACUUCAUGUGGCCAGUGAUGUGAAGUGAAUUGCAACUCAGCUGUGGAGUGGGACCUGCAUGGUCACGGAUAAGGCCUCAUCCAUCCCUGACAUCUAAGCAAACUCCAAAGGAUUUUACUGGAUAACCCAACUGAAGGUGGGACAUCAUCAAUCAGGAUUUUGAGACGGACGGCAGAUGGCAUCAUCAAUUAUGUCAAGUUGUGCAGAUCCUGAAGCAGCAAAUAACCAUUUUGAACAGUUGAGGAGGGACGUUAUCGCUUGGUGUCGUGGCCCCGAUUCGUCUGUUCAUUGUCUGUACCUGUAGUUCUCUGUUAGGCUAGACCAGAACACAAGGAAACCCCCCGAACAGAAAACUGCUGCACCCAGAGGAAAAAGCCUUGUGAUGUCAAGUCAAGUUUAUUUGUGCAGCCCGAUAUCACAUAAGAUAUCUCUGUGGGCAUCGCGGGCUCACAACAGCACUAGUUCCUGACCCAGCUCGAUCUCUCUCAGAAGAUGAGGAAAGGGCCGGUAAAAAGAAACUGUUACAAGAAAGGAGAAGAAACCUCGGGAGACAGCUUCAGUGAAACAAUUCCCCGUCCUCUGACAGAUGGGGGAGAAAGGAGGAAAAGAACAAAGGUUUAAAGGAGACUUGGAGUUAGGGCUGAAAAACAUCUCAACACUGAACAUAUUUUCUUUUUCCUUGUUCAUAAAACAACACUUUCAGGUUACCGUUUCUAUAAUUAAAAUGUAUUUCAAAAGUCAUCUCAAGUUUAACAUGUGAAUUGUUGUGGGGAAAGGAAAAAUGAAGUGAGGAAUAGAUUCUUUUUUCCUCAUGGACUCCAAUAAGAUUUAACAAAUCUAUUGAACCGUUUGGCUAAACUCUUUAUUCCCAUUCUUUGUUGAGGAGGCUUAUCUGAAAAGUAGUGUAAACCCAAUAAAUACCAGCAAAGAA